ensembl:lncRNA
CUGGCUGCAGAGCUCGCUUCCAUCCUGCAUCCCUUCUCUUCCCCCUUCCCGUGGCUGGUUUACCUAAUGGUCUGUAUAAACACAGGAAAUGGGGUUAUUCAGUUAUUUUCCAAAAAAUAAUUAAGAAAAGAAAUCAGUGCAUGGCUGUUUUGUAAGAGGUACUUCAUCGGGACAGGGCUGGUGGGGACAUGGGGUGACACACAGCAGGGGGGCACAGUGUGCCAUCCUGGGGGCUCUGUUUGGUAUCACUAUGAUGGGGUGGGAGAGAAAUUGAGGCAUGCUGGAGGGGCAUUAUGGGAUGGGCAGAACAGCUCCUUAUUGCCACCCAUCCCUCAUCAGCUCCAACCACAGAGGCUCCCAUUGCUCAGCAAUGAGCCUUGCAGGUGUGCAGUGCAAAAAGCAGAUGCCCAGAGGUCAGGUGGUGGGGUCGGUGUGCCAUCCUCUAUGCUAUGCAGGCUGUCCUGCUAUAGCAGCUGGUGAUGUUGCUAAGCACAGGCACAGGCACGUGCUCUCAGCUUUGCCGUUCUGGUGAAUUGAUUUAAAUUGCUUUCUUGCUGACCGGGCCAGGGAUACAGGACAGCACCCAGAGCCACCUUCAGCCCCUUGAGACCAUAUUUCCAGCUGGUAGUUCUGCUGCUUUCCCAUGCACUGCAGCUUCCAGCUUCUCCAGAGCAGGCAGGAGGAAAGGAAGGGAGGAAGAAAGAAAAAAAAAAAAAAAAAAAAAGAGCCCUAGGGCUAAAUUGAAGCCAUUAGUAGCCUCCAACUGAUGACAGCGCAAUAAAUUACUAAUUAACCUUCAGGGUGAGUUCAACACCUUGGGGAUAAGUGUGAAAACAUGGAGUAAUAAGCCCUGACAAAGGCGGGGAGAGGCAGCUCCCGCAGGGCCGGGGCAUGCAGGCUUCAAUAUAAGGGAAUUCUGCUGGCUGUGGGGUGGGCAAAGGGUAAUAGGGCUGAGGCAUCAUGGCUGGGAUUACAUGGCCAGCCCUAGGGAAGGCUUUGGCCAGAGCUGAGUGCCCCAGACCUGGGGGGACCAUCCCCAGCUGAGCCCUUACAGAGAUACCAGCAUAGAAAUGUUUAAUGGUGAAUGCUGUUCAAUGCCUCACCGGGAGAGACAAUCAUGUAUUGCGAAAGAUUUUACAUAAAUAUAACAUCAUUUUAAUGUAUAGAUUAGAUAAUAUGUCAUUAUAUCCCUAUAUAAUUCUAUCAUUCUAACUGGUAUUCUACAAGGCAUAUGCAUGCGUUUCUAUAUAUGCAUAUAUAAUUUCUUGCAUUGCAAGAAGCAGAGGAUUGUAAUCACCCCAACCUGAGCCCAGUGCCUACAGGUUUUCUGUGGCUGUUGUUUGGAUUUUAUUCUCCAACAAAAGGGGAAAUGUGACCCCGACCACCCAUGGAGUGCUCUUGGAAAUGUGGCAGCACAGGGCCGGGAGCAGCGAUGGCUGGAGACAGCAAUGGGGCUACCUCUGUACUGGGCAAGGAUAAGAAGCCCAAUGCAAUGGACAGCAAAGGGCAGCGGGACUCUUUCCAUAUUAAUAAUAAUAAUAGCAUUCAAGCUUUCAGCUCUUGCCUACCCGAAAUAGAAGACCCAAACCACUCCAGCAUCUCCAACCAGCAGCUCCCCUUCUCUUCUGCAUUUCCCUCCUGAUGCUGGGGCAAGUAUUUGCAAGGUUCAUUCUUAGGCAUCUUGCUGCUGAUCAAGCAGGGGGCUUUGCCAACAGCAUUGCAUCAAAGUCUUUUCAGUUGUAAUGGUGUAUGACAUUUCUGAGACCAGAUAUGGCUCAGCUAAUCAUAUUUUAAUAGCCUUACCUUUUAGGAAUGGAGUGGCUCGGAGUGUACAGGGUAAUAUUUUAAUUUCUGAGCUCUGAUGAGCAUAAUUUUGAGCAGGUAUUCAGUUUCUGUAUGUUAUAAAUCGUGCUCCCAGAUGUUCAGUGCCAACGGGCUAUGGAGAGCAACUGCACAAAUAUAAUAUUUAAUACUGAAUGUCAGUUUGGGUGUUCCACUCAAUUUCCUGGAAAGAUCUUUAAACUCGUCUUAUUUAGCCUGAAUACCCAAUCAGUUCCAUACUCCAGCCUGUGCUCUGUAAUUCUGCAUAGCUCAGUUCUCUAAUUUCUGAGAUGCAAAUGUAGAGCAGAUGUAAAAAGGGGUGGGGAGGGGGGAUGUUCCAGCGCGUUCAGCAGUGCUGGUUAUCAGUGCAGGUUGGAUCUGCAUGAAAGCACAAAUCUCUGGGGCUUUGCAGCCUAAGUAGGGCUGCUGGAAGGGACUUGGUCAAACUCACAGCUCGUGCUCUGAGAAAUCAUCCUGCUGGUGCAGCCAGUUCAUAGCGGGGAUCGCUGGUGGACCCAUCCAUCACCACUUGGAUUACUGUUGGACCUAUCUGUCUCAGCUCUUUGAGCUGGGUGAAAUUAUUCAAGCAUUUUUCCGCUUUCAAAAGAAAUACAGUAAAAAUCUGAUUCUGGCUGCAGCCUCUGAAGCAGAACUGACCAAAGACCAUAUAUAGUAUCAAGCCAGGACAGCCUCAGACUUCCUUCCAUCUUUUCAAGCCAUCCGCCUUCCCACAGCACCAUCCAAGUUGCAUUAAUCACAAACUUCUUCAGGCAGAUUAAUCCACCCUCUCACCAUUUCCCUGAUGUUUUUCAGCAAACACUGGAUGCACACAGGGGUACGGUGCACCUCACAGCCCCGUGGUGAUGGGAUGCAAAGGAAAUAGCAGCUAUUUCUAUCAGGUCAACUGCAUGGUGUUUCCUGCUCCUCUGAGCAAAUCAGUCCCAGGUGGUCACACUUAGGCCAAAAAUGCUCACUUUCCCCAUGCUCAGAGCUUACUUGCCAAGAAUAAAAACUGUCUGCUGAGUGACCCAUCCUAUUCCUUAGGUUUAAACAUCUCAGCCGUGAAGGCUGUUGCAGUCAUUCUGGGGGCUGCAUGUCCUUCAUGUCCUGGUAUCACUACAAACAAAACCCUUCAAAAUUUCUUUUUUCUCUUUCUUUCCCCACCCCCCCCCCCCCUUUUUUUUUAAUUUUCAUGGGGAACCUCCUCUUGUAUUCUACCACAUGAAAGUAGGUUUGCCUUCGUUUGUGGCCGUGCUGAUUACAAAGCCUUGGAGAUCUUCAAUUACAUCGGUUGGCUCUUGUGCAUGUCUUUCAAAGAAAACCAUCAAAAUAGCAUUUGUGACUCAUUACAAUUCUAACAGUGAUGCUAUCAUCUUUGCCUUCUUCCAUUACCCAUUUUGAUCCAGCAGGCGUAUGUUGUCCAAGCUUGAGGAUGCCCCAAACCCACACGCUCCUUUGUCUACAGCCCUUGUAGGACUCAACAGCAGUGGCCUUGUAAGCCAACCAUGGCUCCUGGGGCGAUCAUGUCUAUCUGUGGGGAGUUGCAGAUCCCUCUUCUCACUGCUGCUUCCACCUAUUGAGGCAAGUAACAAAGCAGUGCUGGCCCCAAUGGGCUGAGGGUUGCCAUCAUCACGUAUUUCCCCCGUGUUGGGUUUCUGAUACUGGGGGACAUCCCUGUUGCCUUUAGAGUGCCAUGUGGGUAUAAUCAGUCUCAGGCAAUUUAUUUUUACUACCUCAUGUAAACACUGCACUGAAAUUGUCACUCUGAUUUAGGAGGUGCCAGAUUUUUUUUGUUAGCCUUUUUUCCCCCCUUCCUUUUUCUUUAACAAGCUUUAUCAACACCUUCCGCUCUGUCUCUGGAGCAGCACUUCUUGAGCAGCUUUCACCAAGCAUUUCCCUGGUGAAGGGAUGUGCGUAUGAGGUCUGAGCUCUGCCUCUCCAAGCUGCCUAGGUGACUUGCUUGGAGACUACAAGAAGGAGAGGACAAAAUUGUUUUUCACCCAUUUGGUGCACUGGAACUUGAAAUAUCAUUUAAUAUGAGCCUCUCAGAGAGAGGUGAUCACCCAAAUACAGAUGAAAUCACUUAGAAAAUCUGAAGCUGGCAGCCUCAUAUGUUUUAAUUACAGACUACAGUGAUAUCUGCUGAAAGCAAUUACGUUCCAGCCCUUCCCACACACGCAGGCAGUCCCAGCUGAGCUCCACAAAGGCUCGCAAUUAAGCAAAUUUAGCAUUUUCAAAAAAUAAAAAUAAAAGUAUGUUUUGUUCAGACCUUGGAAAUAAGGCAGAGAUUCACUGUUCUGGGCCCAGCCUCGGUGCACAUGCAUGGUGCAUGUAGGUAGACAAAUGCUGGUGCACUGAUCGAGCAGAACAGCCCUUUCCCCCUUUUUAAAUGGCCUCUUGUUCCUGCCAUGAAAAUGGCCGUCUCUGCUUCGUCAGUACUUCUCAAACUUGCCACGGCCAGAAAAGAUACCUCUGUUUAGAACCAGAGAAACGAUCCACUAAAAAGCUUGAAAUGGAGGAUAUCCAUUUCACUGGCUGGAACUGGCCAACAAGCAUGGCUUGCUGAAAUGCGGUCGAGACGCUCAGAUACAGUUCAUGCUACUGAUACCCCUUGCUCUCCCGUCAAAAUUAGCCCAGAUGAAUGGGGCCUUUUGUAGUUAGGAAAGAAACAGUCAGAAAUCACAAUAAUCUCUUUCUAGCCAGGCUUCUGUAGCAAGGGGUGAGUCAACGGCUCUGCCCGGUGCUGCAGAAGAAGGAAAACAGCAAUUUCUCAGUGGUUUCCUUGGCAUGUUGGAAACUGAAGGCGAUCUUCUCUCCCGCAGCCUGUUGCACCUUGGGCUGGGCACUCCCGUUGACUGGGUUCCAGCCAUUCAGGCAUCAAUCACAUCCUUCAGAGCCCAAAGUUGUGCCCAAGGCGCUUGUUCCUGUCCCCAUCCUAUGGCUUGGGAGCCCAUUGGCUUUAUGUGCAUGUGUCCCCAUCCAGAGACUGAGCUGUUGGUGAGGAGUUAGACUUCUUUCCUGUUAUUCUAAAACUAAGUGCUUUGCGCAUUUGGGGAGAAUAAUUAAAUAAUGGUCUGAGUGACAGCCUGUGGUUGGAGUUAAUUUCUUCCAGUCCUCCAAGUGUCUAAUUACACUUUCUUCAAUGCUAACUGUACGGAUUGUUUCAAAACUGCAAAGAUCUCUUGUUUAAAAAAAGAAGAAGAAGGAGGAGGAAAGUCUCAUUUCAGCCCCCUGAAGUGUCUGGGCCAAAUGUCUUCUGACUUCAGCACGAUUUGUGGGUAUCUUAUGGUUCAUCUCCCCCUGAGUAUCCUUGAAGGAAUAAAAGCGAUCUGGUGUAAAUCCACAUCGCUGCUUCUGUGCAGUUUUGUACUCCCAGCUUAAAGUCAAUCCGUCUUUAUCUUAGACCUGUGUCAACCGGAGACACAGCUGUUAUAAUUUGGUCACAUUCAGAGAUGGUUUGAGGCUUCCUGAGCAACACAGCUCUCAUACGGAGACUUCUCUCAGGAGAGGAGGAAAUGCUAUUUGGAGGUGUAUUUCUACCUCUUUGCCACGGCCAAUUGAGAAAAACAAACACACCCUGCUGCUGCUUUUUCCGGUUCCAGUUGAAAAGGCAUUAGGUGGAUUAGGGGAGACGAGGGGCAGAGUUUUGGGAUGAACCAGAGAUACUCAUUGGCCCUCAGUGCCCAAGGGAUGAAUGCUGGGAGCACACCAGCAGCACAGUCCCACUCCUGACCAUUGCUGGCCAUCACAUCAACCGUGAUUCAGACUGAUCGUGGCAGGCUUUUAUCCGCUCUUGACUUUGGCCACACUUAAAAUGGUGAUUUCAUGGGUACCAACUCUUUGUCCCACCAACAGGCCACGGAAUGGGAAGGUGACAUGGAGAAUUAGGAUUGCCUGGCUCAUGGCACUGCACAUGGCUUUGUUUUCAGGGCUGGUUUCAUGUCAAAGCUUGGGCUGAUGCUGCUCAUUAAUUUGCUGCAUUCGUUGAUCUCUCUGAGGGACGGACACCUCCAGUUUGAGUGGUGGCCUUCAGGAGUAACGUGGUAUCCUCCGAGAGCGGGUGAGCUCACGUUGUGAUUUAUUUUUCUUUCCUGGGGUUUGUGACUGAGAGAGGAAGUGAAGGUUUGUUCUUGCUAAAGAUUUAUUUCGUUACAUCUGCAACAAGUCAAGGAGAGAACAGGGUAGAAAGGCUUUUGGUUUUGGGCCUGGAACAAAGCUCACUACUUGAGAUAAACAAAUGGGGGAAAGGAAUUAUCGAAGAAAGAGCUGGCCACAGGCUUUGUUAUGAGCUUCACUGUAGGACAAUGAGAAACUCGGGUAACUUAAACCAAUGUGAAUGCAGACCAGGCUCUGAAAGGAAGAGCAGAUGAUCAGGGUACCUUACAGAAGAAAAUGUCCUGUCUGUCUGUCUGCCUAACUGGCUUUCCAGACUUCCAGUGUUGCUCUUAUACAUGGAGCAAUGGACAUGAACAACAUCCCAAGCCUCGGGUGAGGGGACUCAGCCAUGAGUUGCCCAGUUCAGCCACGCUGUGUAGCACACCUGCCUCUAUGAGGUGCAGUAGUUGCAUCAGCAAGCUCUGAAACAUAUGAGUGCAAGACAACAUGUAGGUGUUGAUGUGGCCAGUGUGUUUUACCUGCCAGAUGUGAUGUGCUUUUAUACACUCACAGCCAGAAGCUGCAUGUGCUGGGGAGACUAUACACCUAACAAAAUAUAUCUCUGAGUGUGAAAAUUCCAAGUAUCUUAUUGCAAGUCAUGUACCAAAAAUGUUUUCAAAUAAGAACACCUUGUCCAAGUCUCUUCUUUAGUAAGCAGGUGAUAGUAAUCCCUACCUAGUGCCAGUGUGGGAGCUGAAUUGCUUCAGGUAGGCCAGCAGAGAUGGGGAGAAAUCAGAAAUGAAGUGAGAAAUACAGCAUUUGUUAAAAGAACAGCAUUUAUUUCUCUGUGGGAGGGGGGAAAAAAUGGAGAAAUAAUGAAACCUCCAUUUCCACAGUGUUGUGUUAACAGCAACAAAAAUAGCUCAUACAAAUAAUCCGCAUGCUAAGUGAAUUUAAAGGAAUUACUAUGAAAUGAAUGCCAGCUUGCUUCUCUGCAACUUGCAGAGAACAGUCACCAAAACCCCUCGGUAGCAUUUCCUGAAAGGCUUAUAGUUGUGUGCCAGCCCCUGCACACAUCCUUAUGACCUCAGUGUCCCCCAAAGGAGGGUGGUAGGGGUGAUAACCCCUCCCAAAGUUCUGUUACCUGUGCUAUUCGAGUGCUUCUUAUCUCACUGAUACCCUAUCAGCCCUGCUCAGGGUGCGGUUGGUGAGAUAGCCAAGUGGUACAAUUAGCAGUAAUUAGCUUAAUGGGAAACCUUAGGACAGAACAGGUUUGUGUCUCUUGGUUCUUUCGGAGAAGCCAGUAGGGUUGUGCAGACAUCAGCCUGGAAAUCACAACGAGUUUUGUGCUGCCAGUUCCCUUUUUAUCAUUGCAUGUGAUGGGGCUGGGUUUGGGCUUAUGGCAAAUGUGGGGAUGGAGAAGGUGAUCUCCACCCUGGGAUGGCUCAAACCUCCAUGCAACUGCUCACCAUGGUGUUGUAGGGGCACUGCUCUUAUUGAAUCCAGGGGGGAUGGUCCAUGGCAUCUGGACCACAAGGCAUUUAGCUAGGACCUGCUGCUCCCCACUGAGCUGCCAGGAUGAGGAAAUCCACAGAUGGUGGGAGCUGGCUCUGUCAUCAGUGCACCCUACAGCCAAAAGAGCCUCCAUAAGGUUGUGGUUUGGGAAAUUUUGGGUGCACGUGUGCUGAUUUGCUUCUCAGGGAAGCCUGCCCCCAUCACUGCCCCCCUCCACUUCCAAACACUCACCCUUGAGGUGAGAGUUGUUCUUAUCCCACCCAUAGUGGGGCCAGGAUGUCCUCCAUUCACAGUUAAAGCCCCAUUGCAUGACGUUCCCAAACGCACAACAUGGCUGUGACAGUCCUUGGAGCUGCUGGCCAGAAACCUGUAAAGCAGAAGGGAAAUUGUUUUGGUGGCAGAACAACAAAUACUCAAUAAAGCACAGCUUGUUUCUGUGCUUUUUUUCUGUGGUUCUGUGCUGACUUUUCGUCCCUUAAUUCACAGCAGGAGUGAGGCUGAGUGUAGUAGAGAUUGAGCAUGAAUCCUCUGUGUUUCGCUAAUGGGAACAAUUACAGCAGUUUCUUCUUUUUCUUUUGCCAAGCUGUGAUACGAAAUAAUUUGCUGGGUUCCUGUUUCUAUGGAAACAAUUAGUUUCAUACUAUUUUUAUAUUGCACAUCAAUGAAGUGAUUAACUAAGUGAAGGCCAACACUUCAUAAAUGUACUGUCUCACGCAAUAACCAUGUAGCUACCAAGUGCCACAGCUAAAUGUGCUUGAAAUGCAACGAAGCCUACUUCACAAAGCACUUAGGAGUGUGUGAAUAUUUAUUGAUCUGAUAUGGCACACGGCUCGUGAGCCAAAAAUACCAAAUGUGGGCGGUUAGGUGCCUGUUUUUUGGGUUUCUUUUAGCAGAAAAUCCCAUUUUCUGGAAGGGUGCUUCGAGGCAGUGAAGGGUUGAAGGACCUGUUGUGUAAUGCAGAUGGGCUUCAGCUGCUGAUGGUGCUGAGAGCUGCCAUCCCACAAGCAGAGAAAAGCCGAGGGUGGAUGGCUUGCAGUCCCUGUGCUCGGUGUGAUCACAGGGACGUGCCUGGUCCCCAGCCUUUCUCCGAGGACUCGAUGCAUAUUUUCUCCUUAAAACAAAAUAUACAAAGAGUCCGCUCAGCACGGAGUGGAAUUCGGGACUCUGCCCGCUCCCUCUCAAGCACAUCUGGGAGCCUUUCCCUCGCAGAGCCGAGCAGCUGCACCACCAGGGAGGGCGGAGGGAGGAGGGAAGGAUGCAAGCUUCCAUGUAGGAAAGCAAGGGCUGGAAUGGGAAUUGUACUCAUGGAUGCUACGGUGGGUGGUUUGGCCUCGGGGCUGUUGAAUGGGAACGGAACCACUGGGGAUGGCACCCAGCCCCAGGGAGAUACAGCUUGGGCUGGGAUGGAUGGGGCUGGCUUCCCGGAGCUCAGGCUUAGUGAUUCAGCCACUUGCAGUAGCAGUUGGGAUGGUUUACUGCAAUGAGUAGUUAGGGAAGAAUUCACCACACAACCCACUCUAUUGGACAGCGAACCCUUAACUUCAUUGGGAAAAGGUUGGAGUCUUCAUCUGCUAUGUAGAGAUCAGCUCUUACAGGAAAGGAAAUGACAUUUUCCUCUUCGUUCAGGAAAAAAAUUAUACACAAAUGUCUGUGCAAAAAGUCAUGUUGUAAACCCAUUUUCAGUUUAACAGUUUAAGAAAAUUAGAAUUUUGCUUGGAAUGCUCUCUCUUAAUUGAAAUGUCUCUUGGAGUGAUGCAAGUACAGUCUCUCCUUGUUCUUGAUGAUAGUCAGGCCACGUCCAGAGACCCCUUUGCAGCUGUUUCUUGGAUGAAGGCAGUUAGUGGCCCUUCCAAACAAAUGCAGCAGAAAUUUCAGAGAAAAAUUCCAUCUGAAAUCAUUCUUUGACCCAAACAUAGAAUAGGUCUGGGUUGAAAAGAACCACAAUGAUCAUUGAGUUUCUACACCCCUGCUACGUGCAGGGUCGCCACCACCAGACCAGGCUGCCCAGAGCUACAUCAGGCCCUUCUUCCACCUCUCUUCCAUAUGGCUUUUCUGUAUGACUUUUUUACUGGUGCUGAAAGCAUCCUUGUUGCCCUGUGAAGGACCCAGCAAUGCACAGCAGGGCUGGCUGUCUUACUGCUCCUGCCUUGCUCUUCUUGGCCCAAGUUGCAGAACCAAGGCCCGAGGGUGCAGAGUAUGCAUGGACCACCCUCAUCCAGAAGGCUUUGAAGCUGGGACUGUGCCUGUGCCUCAUGCAUGCUUGCAUGCAAACAGUGCAGAUGGGUGGUGAAUCUGGAGAAGAGAACAGGCUCGAGCCUGCAUUUAAUGGCGAGUGUAAACAUCCUCCUGAAAUCCCUUUGCAGAGCCAGCCUUCAAUGUUCCCCUGCUAUUCUCCACUCCCCUUUUACCACCCAACCUCCUGACCUUGCAAAAAUAUGUCUCUGAAGGGUCAGAGCUUGGGCCUGGAGCAGAUGCUGGAGCCCGGGAUCAGGGGUGGGUGGCCUGAGGGCUGGACAGAGCAGCAUUCCUGCACGGGGGCUCUGGCUGAGAUAAGGUAGCCCCAUGCUGUGAUUUACACCAACGAAGCAGAGCUUGAGUGAGGCCUGCUUGUUCCCUGGCAGACGAGGCAGGAAAAAUCCUGUGGAAUAAAACCCUUUCAAUCUGUCAGUAAUGGUUUGCAGUAGAAAAAACAUCUAAUUAUAUAUAGCUAAAAGCACCAUGCUGGUCUGGACCACAAGCCGUCGCCCACAUCGCCUCUAAGCCCAAAUGCACUGAAACACACCAGUGGCUGAGCUGAUUUAUUUCUGCUUUGGUUAAGCCUGGCCCAGAUCCUACUGGUUUUGCAGUUUUUAACUGGAUUUCCAUAGUCUUCCUCUCCUAAAACUGCUGUGACAGAGACCGGAGAACAUAUCUGCACAAGACCCUCUCUUCUGCCACAGCUUGCUGUUGCCCCCAUGCCGUGUGGAUGCAUCUGGGUUCAGAUGACAGGCAAAUUCAGGUUUUAGGAUUGUAUUUUUGGGCUGCAACGCCUUAAAUCCAAUCCUUUUACCAAUCUUUUAAACCCCUGCUUUACUAUAUCUACACAAAGGGUCUGGGGAGAGAAGCACCUGUGGAAGGAGAUCUAUAGGGAGACUAUCCCCAUACCACAACCCAACAAGUCCAGGGAGAUAAUCCCACUGCUAACACGAAGAGAAAUUGGAGAGAUUGGUACGGAAGCAUGGUUGGCACAGCUGUGAAGAAGGCUUUGGGCUGUGCACAACAUGACCACCAUGUGCAUUUGCAGAAUCCCUCUGGCUUGGGGCCCAUUGAUGGCUCAAGAUUCUCAUCUAGGAAACACAUUUCCACACUGUUGGGUGUUUGUUGAGCAAUAGGUUUAAGGAGAGAGAAGUCCGGAUUAGUCUGAGUUACAGCUACACUUUUAAGGUCAUGCUGAGAAUGUGACACCAAAACCAGGACCGAAUUCUUUUGAUAUAUAAAGAAAACCUUCAUCGAGCACAGCAGAUGACUUUGGAAUUUGAGCACUUACUACAUUUUUCCCCGUGUAUUUUAUUACUCAAUUUCUGCUCCCAUGAAGAACACCAAAUUCUCUUCCUUCUUUCCAAGCAAGCCAAAUAGAGGUAACACAAAUGGCCAGGUCCUCAGCCUCCCAGAGUUUCUCCCAUUGCUCCAGUGCAGGACAGCAGAUUGCCUUAAGCCUAUCUAAGGGAUUCCAUCGAAACGAAUCAGGUAACAGAUAGAAAACAUACAGUUUACACGGCAGCAUGCAACAAAGAAAUCUUCCCUUAGCAAAACAAUAGGGCCAUUGUAUUCCUGCCUGAGCAGUCAGCAAACUCUGCCAUCCGGGGCUGCAAUGAAUUAAAGGCUGUUCUGCAGCAGAUACAAUUGCUGCUAGUUACACAGAAAAGCACGUUGUCUGGGCGUCUGCAGCAUGCUGAGUGCAUGCGUUCUUGUUCCUAGCAUAGUCAAAACCUACUGAAUGGUUGAGGAAAAGGCAAUUAGCAGACUUGAGUGAUUCAGCUCCGUGCCCAUUUCUCCUGUUCCACAGGAUUCUCAGUAAUGCAAUGUAGGAAUGCUUACAGACAAAGCAGCCACUGAGCUGAUGGCAGAGUCUGAGAGCCUGGUUGGAUGGGCACAAGGGCACCAACAGCUCCUCUGCUGCCUGAACUAUCCAUAUGCAUGGCUGCUGGGCUUUGUCCUUGGAGGUUUUCAAGGCUCAGCUACACAAAGCUAUAGUGGACUGAUCUUGCAUGAGCCAUGGAUCUGCUUUGAGCAGGAGGUUGUGUUGGAGCCAUCUGAUGUCUCCCUGCAACCUGAGGGCAUCUAGGCGACGGGUUAUGCAGGACAGGGUAUCAGCAAACUGACUUCUUUCUGCCAUUGAAUGCCAUUGCUCGUUGGCCUUGGGCAAGGUACUAAAGCUUUCCUUGAGUGUAUCUCCAACUCUAGUUGGCCAACGUGCUCUGCUCUGAGCAUGCUGUUCUCUGUCAGUGGUGUAGGGGCUGUCUGGCAGUGGGUGCUGGGGCAUUUCCAUUGGGGUCCUCAAAGCCACCAAAAAACUGCUCCUCCUUGGACACCAGAAAAGGUUAAACCCAAUCAGUUGGCAGUGAUGUCCCCCCAACAGUAAUUAGGGAUUACUGUGGGGAAGAAGAGAUCAAACCCUGGUGGUGUGAGUUAGGAAGUGAAAUGGAAAGGGGAAUAGCUAGAAUGAUGUGAAUUUCUCCAUCUCAGCACUGAAGGAGUGUGACAAUGGGCCUAAAUAAUUCAGAGCCUUGGUUUCACUUGGGAAAUUCCAACCUAACGCGCUCGAUGCUUAAGUUUUGCCUUCAGGUGUAAAUUGCUGCUGGGGCUCUCUAUCACCAGAGCUGAUCCUGAGCUCCUGCCUUGCCUCUCCAAACCUUAAUGAAGAUGGGAAGAGGGAGGCGAGACCUGUGAAAGCACUUUCUCCUGCAUCCCCGUUCCCAGAGCACGCACAUACCAUGUGUCAUGCUGAAACUGGAUGCACCUGCUAGAGGAGCUGUGUGGGGGCAGGCAUUAUGCGUCAGUUAUAAAUCCUUGGGCUAUCAACAGCCUUCAGUAAACAUUUGGACAAUCCUUCCUACCUCUCGCUCGUCCAAAUAUUUGCAUCAAGUGGGGCUGUGAGCCGUUUCCUGACAUGCUGAGUAUCUAAGAAUAUCCCCGGAUCGUAGGUCGGUUCCAGCUCGCCGUGAUGGAUCGUCUUAUUGGUUGAAAUAAAUGGAUGGGGAGAAAGAAGGAAAAAUCUAUCUGUCUCCCGAUAAUAAACCCAGGUCAGGAUAGAGGGAAACGGCUUGAGGUUGCAAAUGGUGUUUUUAGAGGGCUUUCAGGACCUGAUCUGAAGCACCCAAGGGUUAAUGAUGAGCAGCCCCAAGCGCUAGCAGCGGGUAGGCUCCCCUUGGUGAAUCUCUUGGAAGAGCAGUGGAGGAUGCCCUGAAAGCUUCCUUCCUGCAGUGCUGAGCGCAGGGCUGGAAGCAGCCUGAGCCAACUUCGGAUGUAAAACUGGAGCCUGCUCCAGCAGAGCCGGGUUUGGCAGCUCCUCCUGCAGAGCACAGCAUCCUCCAGGUGAGCUGCAGUGCAUGGGGCUGAAGGCUGCGUGCGAGCUGCUCCAUGCAGCGAGCUGCCAAACCAAAAUACAUGUAUAUAUAUCCCUUUUUUUCUUUCUUUUUUUUUUAAUUUUAAUGCAGGAAAGCAGCUUAGGCUCCACUUUAGUGGUUCGUAGGGUUUCCUGCAUGCAAAACCUGUGUUUAAAACUACUGUGCUAAAUAAGAGUGCUGGGAGGAUGGAGCACAAUAAUUUCAGCCUUCCACUCUGAGCUCAGCGGGAACUUCACAGCUAAAUAUACACUGCAAUAAGCCAGUGGAUUUUCUGAUAGCACAGCAAAGGAAAUGUUUGACCCUCGGCUUAAUUGCAGGAUAAAGCUGCUCAGGGUGUAAUGUGGCUUUUCCACUGCAGCUUCGGUUUUGCGCUACGCUUUCCUCCCCUCUCAAUAAAACCAACAAGCCAGUGAUACAUAAAAGCAAUGCAACCAUCGUGUGCUAUAAGUGUAGAUAUUCACAGUGAUGUGAGCAAACUCCAGUUUGGGGGGGGGGGUGUUAUUCAUCCCCCAUUUACCCCCACCCAACCCAAGGUGAUUUUCUCCAGCAUCCCCUCCCCGCCUCCCAUCGCUUCCAUUUGGAAGCCCCCAGCUCCGCGCCCUCUGUGCACAGACUAAACAACAUCUGCAAAGCCGCCUCUCUCCCCUCCAGCCCUCCCGGGGAAGGAGCUGCUCCCAGAUGGACAGGAGAGAGACGGUGUCACCGAGGAGGGCUCCGGGGCUCGGGGGGGAAGGGUGGGGGAUGCCGGGGAGCAGCGAUGUGGCGGAAGCAUAAAGCACCUGUUGGGAGGCUAUUUAGGGAUUAGUUGAGUGCUGACAGACAAAUUGGCAAGAUUAAUAAGAGCAAUCAAGGCUGUGUGGGCUCGAGUUGUGAGCUGACAUUAAUGUGACAUCACUUUCAUCUGCUUUUUGCCUCGCACCGCAUCGCUGGUGCUGCGGCAUCAUUAGUGCUGCUCGGGAGCGGCGCGGUCGGAUGCAGGGUUAGAGGAGGGUGUGCGCGUGAACACGCGUGCACAUGUGUGUGCACAUGUCUGCAUGUGUGUGCCAUGGUGGGGACAACCCCCUGUCCCCGUCCUUCAGUGGGUCACCCCAUGGGGGCUGCCCAUGGGGUGAGCACCUGGGGGUGAGCGCUGGGGGGGGCAUCAACCUCCAUCCUGCUGCCCCCCACCUCUGCAGGGCCUACCUGGCUCCGGCAGCAGUGGUGUUAUCCCCAAAGCCAAAUGCUGUAGUGUUGACAAUCCCUCUGCAGCGUUGCUUAAUGUUGCUAGGUUAAAAGAAAAGGGGGGGGAUUGACCCCCUCAAAAGAAAGAAUGCAAAAAAAUACAGUUUCAUGGAAAAAAAACCGCUAGUUCCAGGUGGGAGAAUGAAGAAACCCCCUAAGCCUCAUGCUGGAACCUACUUCUUUCUGUUGGGAGACAGAUCGAUGCCAUCCAGAUAUUCUCAGGGAGAAAAAAACACUUUAGGUCUCUCCUCUGCCCCAUGAAACAUGGGGAAAAAAAACCCUGCACAGCUCCGAAGUGAUACUGCCAUUGCAUAGAGAAAACCUUGCACAGGAUUGUUGUGUUUUCCCCUUGUUUCCCUUCUUCCCUUAAAUCCCUGCUGAGGUUCUGCUUGCCCCGAAUUUCGCCCACAUCCCCUUCAGACGGCGACUUGUUUACACGGCGAUUUUCUUUGUACUUUCAGUCAAUGAGGAAUCAUAACAGUAGUAAAACAUCGGAGUGCACAAAUCCUCCGGCUGGCCGUGCCGGAGAGCUCUGCUCCACCGACAGCUUUUGCCCACAAAAGGCAAAUAUUGGGAAGGAAGGCUAUGCCAAAGCCUCCUCACUGUUGCUUGCAAAGCUGUCAAGGGGGAGAAAUCCUUUUGCCGGGACCCCAAAUGCAUCCCUCUGUGCUGGGAGUGAUCGAUCAGCAGAGGAACGUCUGCAAAAAUCGGGUUAUUUUCUUUGAACCUUCACCAGCACAGCAACGGAAGGGGAGAUAGGAACAGCUGAGGGGGUUCCAGAAGUGAUUUUUUUUGUUAAGGAAACCGGAAUCAAAGGGACCCCAAAAGGCUCUGAAAUCAAAGAAAAUCACAGCUCCCUCCUGAAAGAAAAACCCAAAAGCUCUCCGGACCUCCACUUUUAAGCAAUGGAUGAACUGAUUGCUGCACACUUGGCAUUUACAAGGGCUGAAAUCUAUCAGUAUAUCUGCCUAUUUAUCUAUUUUUUUUUUCAUGUGGCAAAUUGUAAAUGGCAUUUUUCACUGCCGAAUUGGAAGGGGUUUUUGAUUCAAAUUUCAGGUUGUGCCCAGCAAUUCCCGGCAAAGAAAAUACCCAAAGGAAAGGAUACCCCAUCCCUUAGGCGAGGCUUUAGGGACGCGCACCCGUUUGCCACCGGCGCAUGGAAACCCCUCUAUGGGGUCGGAGGGAGCUCAGGGGGGGUGAGCUGAGCCCUUCCUUUCCCUUUCCAGGAGCAAUGGGAUCGUUUUCGUUGUUCUGGGGGUAAUUCUCGGAUAACUGCUCUGACACCUCUCCCUGCAUCCCCACUCCCUCCCCAGCCACGCAGGGAAAAACAUAGCUCCGAAAUCACUGGGUAAAGGGACAGGGGUGGCACGGGGCUCCCCAAACAUCCCGUACGUCUUUCUGCUAAAAAUAAUGCACACACACACAUACACGGGAGGGGGGGGGGGGGAAAUCAUAUUUGCUCCUGAUUAGGUUUAAAAUACACAACGUAGACCAAUCCGGCAGCAACAUCCCGGGCGUUCAGUGGUCUGUUUGUAAUCUCAGACUUUUUCAUUAACAUAAACACUACUUCAACAAAAAUAUACACGGCCACCUACGGAGCCGGCCGAGCGAAUGCGGGACCGACCGCAGGCAGAGGAGGCGCGGAGCGGGCGCGCAAUUUGCGCGGAGCCGCGGGGCAGCAGCGGAGCGGCAACCCCGGGGAAAUGGGUGUGAAAUGGGUGUGAAAUCGGUGUGAAAUCGGUGUGAAAUGGCAGUUCUCGUUUGUGGCCCUGCCCGGGGGUAAGGGGGGUUGGGGGUACGGGGUGCUCACACAGCGCCGGUUCCUCUCUCCAGGAAAAGAUGAGAGAGGCAAUAAAACAUCAAAGCGAAAUUUCAACCCCCCCGAAAGCGCGCAGAACUCCUCGAAAUAUGGAACGCGGGGUUCGGGGUUUUUCUCCCCCGGUUGGCGGUGCGGAGGGAUGCGGUGAGCGGCACCUCUCGAUGGGACGGGAUGGGGCCGCGCCGCUCUGACCCGACAGCGCUGCGUGCCUGGGAGACCGCCCUGACUGCGCCCUGAGAUUGGCUUUGCGGGGCGUUCAUUUGCCUUUUCUCUUUCUUUCUUCCUCUCUUUUUUCUUUUUCUUUCCUUCAUUCUUUCCUUCCUUCUUUCUUUCUUUCAUUCUUUCCUUCCUUCCUUCUUUCUUUCUUUUCCUUCCUUCCUUCCUUCCUUCCUUCCUUCCUUCCUUCCUUCCUUCCUUCCUUCCUUCCUCCCUUCCUCCCUUCCUCCCUUCCUCCCUUCCUCCCUUCCUCCCUUCCUCCCUUCCUCCCUUCCUCCCUUCCUCCCUUCCUCCCUUCCUUCUCUUUCCUUCUCACUCUUUUCCCUCUCUUCUCCUUUCUCCUUCCACCUUUCUUUUCUCCUUCUCUCCCUUCCCCCUUCCUCUUUCUUUAUUCUUUUUUUCAUUUCUACUUCUUUUUUCUUUAUUUCUUUAUUUCCUCCCCUUCACUCUCACCUUUUCUCAUUCUCUCUAUUUUUCUUAUUUAUUUUUCCCUCUUUUUUUUCGCUUUCUACUUCCCCGUUUUCCUUUGUCUUUCUUUCACUAUUUCUCGCUUUCCCAUUCUCUUCAUUUCUGUUUUACUUGUUAUCAUUCUCUCCUUUAUUUCGUUUGCUUAUGCACUCUUAUGCUUUCUAAUGUUCACUAUUUCUUUCACACUCUGAUUUCUAUCUCCUUAUUUCGUUCCCUUUUUCCUUUCUUUUUCUUCUCAUUUUUGUCCUUUUUCUUUUCCUUUCCUUCUUAUUUUUCUUUUUCUUUCUAUUUUUCUUUUUCUUCUUUUUCCCCUUUUCUUUUUCUUUUUCUUUCCCUUUCUCUUUUUCUUCUUUUUUCCUUUUUCUUUUUUCUUUUCUUUCUCUUUUUCUUUUUCUUUUUUUCUCCUUUCGUUUUUUCUCCUUUUUCUUUCUCUUCUCCUUUUUCUUUCUCUUCUCCUUUUCCCAUUUCCUUUCCUUUCCUUCUUUCGUUUUUUUCUUUUCUCUUUUUUUUUCUUUUUUUCUUUUUCUUUUUUUCUUCUUCUCUUUGUUUUGCCUUCUUCUGUUUUGCCCUUUCCUUCCUUUCUUCUUUCUUUCAUUUUCUGUCUUUCACCAUUCAUUCAUUCUUUCUUUCCUUCAUUUUCUCAUUUUUUCUUUUCUCUAUAUAUUUCUUUCCAUCUUUCUUUCCCUCCUUUCUCGUUUAUUUUCCUCUUUUCUUUCUUUCUUUUUCUCGCUGUCUCCCUUUUCUUCAUUUUUUUUCUCUGUCUGUCUUUCACUCUUUUCUGUAUUUUUCUUCCUUUUUUUUUCUCUCUCUGUCCCCCGCUCUUUAUUUUCUGCCUUGUUUCUGCACGUCGUCCUUUUUUCCCCCACCUUUCUCCUUCCCCGCUUGCACUCUCCCCCCACUCUCGGCACUAUGUCCCCCUCCACUCCCCAUCUCCACAUCCUCCUCUUCUCAGUGACCGAUCUCAGGGCAGCCCGGACCCGGUGCUCUCUCCAUCCCCCACCGACGGAACGAAAUCUCCCCUUCCCGAAGUGCGGGCGCUGCGUAUUUCCCUCCAUCCCUACGGCUGCACACAGCCGGGAUCCCCUGCCUGCUCGUGGGUCCCCCCCGCCCACGGGAGCCGUGCAGAGGAGCAUUUCGAUGCUCUUUACCGUUCCCCGAUGGCUGCCCCGUCCCACAUGCGUGGGGAGGGACACAGACGGCCCCGUCCCACUGGGAGCUGCGGGUGGGAUCGUUCCCAUAGGGAAAACGAACGACUCUGGCGGCCGAAGGGGUGGGGGGGGGGGAAUAUUGCUACACGGCCACGCAGCAUCUUUGCUAGCAGACAGCCCCCAAAUCCGAUACGGGAACGGGCAGACGGUUCCACGCACAGCGGUUUAAAAGGGAUUCUUUGCAAAACGGCUUUGCGACGGUUUUAGCAGUGAGAUUUAAGGGAGAAUCAGAGCGCGGUGCUGAAGGUGUUCUGCAAAACGCGCUGCGACGUUUUACGGUUCAGCAAGCGGGUUUGAAAUAGGAAGAACCGCAUCAUUUCUAGCUUCGUUAUUCGAACCUAUAGCGAAUUCUGCGCCAGUAUUUCUUCCCCCUCAGCUUUCUUCUCCUUUCCUCCCCCCUCUCCCGCACCCUCACGCCCCAUUCCCCAAUAAACCCGGGGGAAAUGGUUGCACCGUUCCCACGAUGCUCACAAAACUGCAGUGAUUUUGCCGCAGAAACCGCUUAACUGCGGGGCAUAAUAUAAACCCUUCCCACUUCGGAUCGGGUAUUUCAUGCACUCACCCAACACCUUCCUCAGAACACCGACCAACUGAGCACUGUAUUCCCUGCAAUUCAUUUUUGAAAGCACACAUAUGCAUAUAUGUCUUCGUAUGUAUACAUAUAUAUAUAUAUAUAUAUAUACACAUAUAUAUAUCGCUGAUAAUAUUUGGCUUAGUGACCAAAAAGUAUAAUUUUACUACUCACUCUUUUGUGUAUUUUUUUUUCUAAGGAGGUAGGAAAGGCAAUUAACCAAUUUUUUAGUGUUUAUAUAUAUAUCUAUAGUUCUGUGCUGGGAAACUGAAAGCAAAAGUGGGGCCCAUAAACCCACAGCACCCCACAGUACGGCCCCAGAGCUCGCGCUGUGGUGCAUUACGGAGCCGUCGCGUCCCCCACAUAAGGGAUACGCCGUUAAUUGGGAAUUCGCUCAUUAAGAAAAGUGCUGGAAAAUAGUUUCUGCCGGGAGGGUUUCCGUGGAAAGCCUAACCCAGAUCUCUGCAAAGAGGGGAGAAGCGAGCAGGGAGCCGCAGCUGUUUGCAACGGGGAUUCUUUUCGUUGUUUAUGAACGCCAGUCCUGAAACUCCUCUCUUUGGGCUCUGGGGGGGGGGAGGUUUGGAGCGGGGCUGAGAUUUAUUAUAGAGGCAAGGUUAAGAACUCAGGAGGUUCCCCUCGGACGCAGCCCCGCCGGCCUUUCCCUGCUCGGCACACCCCACGCGUGCUGCCCUUUGCACGGACAUCUGCAUCCUAUGCUUGAAAUGAAAUGGCCCCACUGGUCAUUUUAUCCCCCGGAACCCAGAGGGAUGCUCCGAGCUGUGGGGCUGGAUUUGCAGGUGGAUCCCUGAGCAGCGCAGGGCAGGACCCUAUGGGCACGAAGCAAAGGGACAAAGGGAUAAAGCCCUUUUGCCGCCCCAGGGACCUUCUCGCAAUCCAAAAACAACCGCUUCGGGUUUCCCCCGUGUACCCGAGGGCCGACACAGCGCUCUCCCUGCCCUCAGCAUCCUUCGCUGGGAGCCGCUAUGCUCUCCGUCUCCCCACGGGGAACGGCCGCCUCCCGCGUGGAUCGCUUUGCCGUGUGUCCCCGCGGACCCCCGUGCCCUUUUUGCCCCUCCGGGCCGCCCUGCACGACAGGUGACACUGCAAAAAGGGUUGGCAGCCCCGACCCUUCACCCCCUCGGAGUGAGCGGCUGUAAUUUACAGACGGCGUUCAUCGUGGAUUUCAUUUCACACCCCCAUGCUGGGGAGCCCGGGGACAUUUGGUGUGGGGCUGUCACCUCCUGUCCCCUCAGGGCCGCGUGAUGCUUCGCAAAACACCUUUCUCCCUCCGAGAAUCCCACACCAGGGAGGGCACCGUAGGGUCCUCCCGGGUUCCCUGCCAUUUUCCCUAUAGCGAUCCCUAUAGUCCACGCUGUCCCCCGAGGCUGGCAGGGGAUAGCAGCCCCGUGCCGUACCCCUUCGCGUUCGUUCCGCUGUGACUUCCCGCAGCUCCCCGUGCGGAUUUUGUACGGAACCCCGAACCGGGUGGCCCUCGCUCCGAGUGCAGCGCUGUGGUUCGAAUUUCGACGGGGAUUUUAGUUUCGGGUUGGGGAAAAAACAAACCAACUAACUAACAAAAGAAAACCCAACGAAUGGAGAUCGGUAAUGGAGGGAUCCAGGCGGGGCCGGGCGGGGUGCGGACGCAGGGAAGCCCCUCGCUGUCCCCGUUUCUCUCCAGGGCACGUCGGGGAAAUGGAGGUGAUUCCCAGCCCUCGAAAGGCUCGGAGGAGCGAAAUGUUUUGCAGGCACCGAAGUUCCCGUGUUACCUCUCACCCACCGGAAUGUGAGGCUAAAAAAACGCUGAGAACGAUGGGUUUUGUUUUUUUAUGCGUGGCACAGCGCUCUGUCUGCGAAGGAGCUGGGAGAAGCGGGGUGCCUUCUCGGGGAUUCGGCUCUUCUUAAGCCCCGGUACCGGGAGGACCGCCCCGAAUCUGCCCCGGCUCUCGGGCCGCGCUGAGGAAGCGCAGGAACGGAGCGGGGAGUCCCCAUCUCCCUUCCUUAAAGACCCACAUUAAGCUCCGAUCUCCCCUCCCGACCCCCAAUUCUUUUCCUAUUGGGGUCGCUGGAGGGAAACCCCUCAGGAAAACCGUGUCGGAGAAAGCCCCGACGCCCCAAAUCCGUUUCAACCCGGAUCUGCGCUUCGCCUUUAGGAUCAAUUGUUUUAUCGGGGGCGGCCGAGAGCAUCUCUCGUUGCUCUCCGGCUCAGCUCCAUCCCUUCUCCCGAUAUUCCCUCUCCCACAGCAUCCCUCCUGGGAAAGCAUCCCAGCUCCCCGUCCCCGAGCAGGGAUAUAAACACCCGCAGAUAUAUAAAAGAUCUCUGGCGUGUAAUGGGGGCUGCGGGGCGCUGGGACGGCCGUGUGCCGCGGGGAGCGGCUCUGUCAGGGCUGUGCAUUCCUGCGCUGCAACGUUUCACCGGUGGACGUCAUGGAAAAUGUGGGCUUUUAUUUCUGGGGGGGGGGAUGGGGGGGUUGUUUUGGGGGGGUGGGGGAAGAGGGACAAAGAGGGGGAAAAUCUGUACGGUUUUCCUUUCGCUUCUCCCUCCUGACCAACUCCUGAACUUCAGCUUGGCAGAACCCUGCAGCCCCAGUGUUGCUGGGUUUCGUCCCCAAAAUUCCUCUUGGAUGUCCUCCCCUGUGUGCACUUCUUAUUUUUUUCCUGCUCCCCCCUACCCCCUCCAUCUCCCCUUCCCCUUCGCUGGGGGCGGACCCGAUGCAAACAGCCAAACCGACAGCAAACAACAGCAACCAGCGAGCCCCGCUCCUCCGCCCGGCCCAGGAGGCACUUCUUUCCCUUAUACACGAUCCUAAGGUUCUAUUUCUGGGGAGAGCAAUAAAGACCCGACGACCCCCCUCGCUCACCCCCGUGUCCCGCACUCAACUCCCCGUUUCUUUGUGCCGUAUAGAAAACCUUCCAGCUUUCCUCCUAUUCCCACCACGAGGCCUAUAAAAAUCGGAGCCAUCUAUUUCCACGUCAGCGUCCUCCGGACGGCAUAAAUCCAUCGGAAACCGAACCUUCACACCCCCGAAAAAUAAAACCUAAACUCCUGGAUGGGGUGGGGAGGGGGGAAAGGCGCUUUGAGCGGUUCUGUCCGGAGUGGAACGCUUUGAUUUCCGCGCAGAGAUGUAUUUCCCGAUGGGAGCGCUGCCCUGGAGGUGGGGGGGGGGGGGGGUUGAAGGUGGGUUUUGUGCUGUCUCUUUGUGCCGCUUCCCGAGCUCCAUCCCGGGAGUUUCUUUUGGGGGGGAGGAGGGGGGGGUGGAAGAAUGGGGGAAUAAUGGGGGAAUUCGGUCUCAGAGUGGUGAAAAAUACCCAUUUCGUGGCACGGGGUGGGUUUGCGUGUGUGUGUGGGGAGGGGGGGGGGAAUCAGCGAUGCGCUGCCCCCGAGAUAAAUAGAAAGCAUCGCUAAGCGGAGGGUUUAUCUGCACUGUCCGCCCGAAAUCUGCGAGCAGACGGGAGAGGGGUGACUUCCUAACAGUGCCAAUUUGGGGUUAAGGUUUGCCUCCGUGCCCUCCCUGCUCUGGGGGUUCUCCCAUCCCCAAAAUUCCCCCUCCGCCUCCGUUUCCCACGGGGAUUUGUUUUUAUUUGCGGAGCGGGAGAAAACGACGGGAAAGGGAAGGAAGGGAGGGUUUAAAAAAAGAAAAAAAAGGGGGGGGGGGGGGAAGGAAAAAAAGUAAGAAGAAAAGGAAGCCCCCCCAUGCGAAAUCCCUGUCGGUGCUGUUGGGACGGGCGCCCUGCAGGCUGCUCGCAACUGCUCGCCAAUAACGCGGAGGGAGUUCGGAAACCCGAUCGGUAUCCGCUGCCCCUCUUUUUAAGAAGGCUUCAAUUAUCAUUCAAAACGUGAUAAUAAUAGUACUUAUAUAUAUAUGUGUGUAUAUAUAUAUAUAUCCUUUAAAAGCGAACCUGAAAGAGGGGGCUUUGGGGAUGCUCUCUUUAGCGGCGCAGCCCUCCAGCGCGGCCUGCAUCGGUCGGAGUGGUUUAGAGGGAGGUGAGGGGUGGAAGGGGAAAAUUUCUUCUUAUUCCCUGUGUUCUCUUUCCUUUCUCUCUUCCUUUCCCCGACCUCAGAGCCGCACAUUACCCCUCUCGCACCCUACGCAGCCAAAGCUGCCGCCGUGCCGUCCCCCCCCCCCCCCCCAACCCUAACAGCCCCCAUCGCGAGCGUGGAUUUAAACGCGCAAGAAAGGUGACAAAGCUUUAAAGGGACUUACCUCGAGCGAGCGACAGCCCUCCCGAUGGGAAGAUGCUCGAAAAGGGCUUUUAUUUUUUUUUUUCUGGAGGGUUGGGAGGAAAGCGGGGGGGCGGUAAGGACUAUUCCUUCCCGUUCUCCUUCCCGUCCCGUUCCCCCCCCCCCCUUCCCCAGCCCGGUGAAUGUGUGUGCGGCAUCCGAGCGAGCCGAGCACGGGGCUCUCGGUAUUCAGCCGUUUGUGAAGCGCAGAUUUAUAAACAACCUCCCCCCUAAAGUUAAAUAUAUAUAUAUAUAUAUAUAUAAGAAAGAAAGAAAGCGAAAGAGCCCCAAAGAAACCUCGGAACGGGAGAGGGGACCGAAGCCCGUUCCCAUCCCCGGACCGGCGGCGGAGGCAGAAAAGGGCAUUUCGAGAGGCAGAGGGAGUUUUCGCCGAUUUCUUUUUAUUAAAGCACCCCCGAGUCCGUGUUUACAUUGCUCAGUAUAAACAUCCUGCCCGGGCCCGCCGAGCUUAAAAGAGCGCACCAAGAGGGGGUUUAAGUGGGUGAAGCUCCGCGCUGAGCGGACACCGAAGCCGGGGCAGCGCCUCCUCUCCACUGCGCGGCCGCGGAGGUUCCGCGCUGCUCGGAGGCCCCUCCGCGUGGGG